rnacentral:rRNA from 1 species
UAGCAUAAUCAUUAGUUUUUUAAUUGAAAACUGGAAUGAAAGGUUAAAUAAAAAAUAAUCUUUAUUAGUUUUAAAAUAUUUGAAUUUGUUUUUUUAGUAAAAAAACUAAAAUUAUAUAAAAAGACGAUAAGACCCUAUAAAGCUUUAUAAUAAAAAAUUUAAUAAUUUAUUAGAAUAUUUAAAUUAAUUCUUUUUUUUUAUUUAAUUGGGGUGAUUUAAAGAUUUAAUAAACUCUUUAUUAAAAAUAUCAUUUUUAAAUGUUUUUUGAUCCUUAAAAUUUUAAGAGUAAAAAAAUAAGUUACUUUAGGGAUAACAGCGUAAUUUUUUUGAAGAGUUCAAAUCGAUAAAAAAGAUUGCGACCUCGAUGUUGAAUUAAGAUAAAUUUUAGGUGUAGAAGUUUAAUUUUU